GCCUGUGAGGAGGAAGUGACAUCAGAGACAGUAUGCAAAUGCAAGAACUCCUCAGAAAACACACUAAAAUCCCCUGGAACUACGAGCCUGCACAAAAUUAUGGACCGGGACACUUGCAGAAGGUUGAGCAACUAACUCUGGGACCCAGAGGGAGGCUUUUAAUCUGUUGCUCUAACCUACAGAAACUCAGAGUAGCAUGAGGACCCCAGACUUUGACACAGACUAUGAGAAGGGAAAAAGCCCUGCCACUCUCGCGAGGAUGGGUCUCCCAGCUCUGCCUGCUCAUGAAGCGGACAAAGCUGCAUUUCCUCCUCCUCGGCGUCCCUCUGGGAAGCAGUGGCGGCGUGUGCACAGCCUGUCGGGCCCCCACCCGAGCUGAUCUCGCUAAAUAAAGGCAUUUUUAAGGAGAAUCAUCUCCUGUCCAUUUAUUACAGCUGGGGGCUCGUCUGGGAUUGCCCACGCCCGAAGAGGACACCAGGACUGGCCAUCUUGGACCUCCAGGCAGUCGCCUACCUCUGGACCUGAAGAUCAACUCGGGACUUGGGAUGAAGAGGAGCGCCGGAUUGAAAUCCUCCUGUGUUAGGUGCUGUUUCGCUGUGCUGCCAGCUGUUGCUUCCUGGAAAAUGGUGACCGGGCCUGUGAGGAGGAAGUGACAUCAGAGACAGUAUGCAAAUGCAAGAACUCCUCAGAAAACACACUAAAAUCCCCUGGAACUACGAGCCUGCACAAAAUUAUGGACCAGGACACUUGCAGAAGGUUGAGCAACUAACUCUGGGACCCAGAGGGAGGCUUUUAAUCUGUUGCUCUAACCUACAGAAACCCAGAGUAGCAUGAGGACCCCAGACUUUGACACAGACUGUGAGAAGAAGGGAAAAAGCCCUACCGCUCUCGCGAGGAUGGGUCUCCCAGCUCUGCCUGCUCAUGAAGCGGACAAAGCUGCAUUUCCUCCUCCUCAGCGUCCCUCUGGGAAGCAGUGGCGGCGUGUGCACAGCCUGUCAGGCCCCCACCCGAGCUGAUCUCGCUAAAUAAAGGCAUUUUUAAGGAGAA